rnacentral:rRNA from 1 species
ACGCUGGCGGCGUGCCUAAUACAUGCAAGUCGAACGAGAGCGACCGGUGCUUGCACUGGUCAAUCUAGUGGCGAACGGGUGAGUAACACGUGGGUAACCUGCCCAUCAGAGGGGGAUAACAUUCGGAAACGGAUGCUAAAACCGCAUAGGUCCUUUAACCGCAUGGUUGAAGGAGGAAAAGAGGCGCAAGCUUCUGCUGAUGGAUGGACCCGCGGUGCAUUAGCUAGUUGGUGAGGUAACGGCUCACCAAGGCCGUGAUGCAUAGCCGACCUGAGAGGGUGAUCGGCCACAUUGGGACUGAGACACGGCCCAAACUCCUACGGGAGGCAGCAGUAGGGGAUCUUCCGCAAUGGACGCAAGUCUGACGGAGCAACGCCGCGUGAGUGAAGAAGGUUUUCGGAUCGUAAAACUCUGUUGUUAGAGAAGAACAAGUGCUAGAGUAACUGUUAGCGCCUUGACGGUAUCUAACCAGAAAGCCACGGCUAACUACGUGCCAGCAGCCGCGGUAAUACGUAGGUGGCAAGCGUUGUCCGGAUUUAUUGGGCGUAAAGCGAGCGCAGGCGGUUCCUUAAGUCUGAUGUGAAAGCCCCCGGCUCAACCGGGGAGGGUCAUUGGAAACUGGGGAACUUGAGUGCAGAAGAGGAGAGUGGAAUUCCAUGUGUAGCGGUGAAAUGCGUAGAUAUAUGGAGGAACACCAGUGGCGAAGGCGACUCUCUGGUCUGUAACUGACGCUGAGGCUCGAAAGCGUGGGUAGCAAACAGGAUUAGAUACCCUGGUAGUCCACGCCGUAAACGAUGAGUGCUAAGUGUUGGAGGGUUUCCGCCCUUCAGUGCUGCAGUUAACGCAUUAAGCACUCCGCCUGGGGAGUACGACCGCAAGGUUGAAACUCAAAGGAAUUGACGGGGACCCG